rnacentral:lncRNA from 1 species
UGCUGUUUUAUUUUACAAUUACUGUGACUUUACUACUUAAAUUUGUGUCGUUGUUGGGCAAAAAGAAAAAAAAUUUAAAGUCACUAAAAAAAUAUUUAUUAAAUGGACUCUUUUUUAAAAGAAAUGCAUUUUCAAAAAGAUAUAUACGUCUCAGAUCGAUCACAAUUUAAUAAUCUUGAAACUAUAUUUACAAAGCAUAAUAUCUUGCUACAAUGCAUGGAAUGAUAGUUUAAAAUCCGGGCUUACAUGGACUUAAUCAAUUAGGUAUUUGACUUGGAAAUAAGAUGAUGCUGAAUUUCAUAAGUUUUUAAAUAAGUUUAUUCUUUCUAAGUGACACGAAGUAUAUUUUACUAAUACAAACAAAAAUAAUAAAAGUUGGAUCUUAUAUAGUUGCAAAUAUCCAGUUUUACUUAGCUGUUUUUUCUUCUUAUAAAAAAAAAAGAGAAUGUAGUUUAUUAUUAAUAUUGACAUGUAGGUGUACGUGUGAGUGUACAUGGGUAUGAUGAUAAUAAAGACGUUCACCCUUUUUAAAAUUGUGUCCUCGCAAUUUAUUUUGAUGAGCUUGUUUACCAUUCUGGAUCUCUUGAUCCAUGUUUCUAAAUAUAAAAAAAUGUUAAUUCAUAAUUCCAAUCCCCCUUUUACUUUUCUUAGUUUAACUGGUAACCUGUAUAUAGAGGCUACUCCUUCAUCCACAACAGGAUUAAGAAAUGGGGAUACUAGAGGUGCUGCAACCCAAUGAAGUAGUUUCUUGCCCUGCUCGAUAAUAAUUUUUGUGUUAAUACUCCACACAGAGCUUGUUGCGUUCCAUUAAUCCAUCUCAUUAUUUCGUUCUUAACUGAUUGAAAUUAACACAUGCGUUCUCUACAUUCUCUAUUUGGCGCAUCCUGUUGUAAGUCCGUCUUCCUUACUCUCUACGUUGGCUAAUAUGAGUAUGGGUUUUUGAAGAACUCUCAUCUUCAUGUCUAAGCCCGUGACUGUCUUGAGAAUGUCCAGUUCAUAAUGGCUACCUUCUAUACAACUGAACGGCGUUCAAUGGACGGAACAUAUAUAUAUAUAUAUAUAUAUUGAACGCUAAAAUGGAGAUUUUAGCAUUCUAUUCCAAUAGUCCUUAGAAGAAAGGCUGAUAAAGCAAAACAACACUUGGGAGACCUUAUUUGUGGCAGUGGCAAAGGGGGCUGAGGGGCAGUUUUUGAAAGCUCUUAUCAAACAUGAAAGUUUCUAGUACUCUACCUGUUAAUUAUGAUGAAAAAAUCGAUACGCAGAAUUUGUCUGGUUAAAUAUAAUGUCAAGGACUCUUUCGUUGUGGAGUACGAGCUUUUAUCUCACAAUACUUAAAUUACUAUUUCUUAUUUUACAUUAUUUUGCUUUCUUAAUUUAUCUACUAUCCAUGUAUAGAUAGUUUGAUUAUUUACAGAUAAGAUAUUUAUUUUAUUUAAUUCUUGUUACAAACAAAAAUUUUCAAUAAACUAUGCUUUCUUUCGUUUUGAAAACGUAUUAGUUGAUUAGGUAUUUCUAUAAAAUUGUAUAAAUCAUCAAGGGAUUUAACUUUUGAAGAGUACGAGCGGGUAGUUGGAUCUAGAAAUAUAUAAAUAUGACUAACUUAUCAUUAUCAACCAUUUUUAAUUAAUGUUAAAGUCAGCUAUUUUCUUUUUGAUUUUGAGUUAUAUAUCUUCAGUCAAUCCAUCAUUUUUUGGGAUUUCUCAUCAAAAAGGAUGUUUUUCACCAUAUCAAGUUACAAAAUUGGUAGUUUAUACUCCUCCAGAUAAUAUUGGAACUAAUUGACUAUUCCUUUUUAUUAUGAAUUAUUUCAUUAUCAUUUUCCUUUUAUUUUAUUUUUCUAACUAUAUAAUUACAUGAUUAUUGUACAAUAGUAAAUUUCGAACAGAUAAUAUAAAAAAGAAAACAAGGUGGUUAAUAUGUCAUGUGGCAAAAUCUCAUAGGGGCAAAAUUACCAGGGGCGAAAAUGUAGGACUUAAAGUUACUUAAAACAAUUUUGUUACAAUUUUCAUUCUUUUUUCCCCAUAAACAAUUGAUAAUACACUAUAAAAAGCUAAUACGGUAAAAAUUUAAUAAUAUUUGUGUGGAGAUACAAUAUCUUCACAAAGAUAAUAUUUAGACAUGAAAAUUGUGUAUAUUUGGGCAUGUUGAAAACAAUCAAUUUAGUAACUAUGACAACUUGAAAUUUUUUUAGGAGGAAAGUAGGUUAGCGUUCAUGACGUUUUGUUAGAUCAGCUACAAUCAGUUGUGACCAAAAAUAAGGGUGAGAAGGAAUUGAAUGAAUCAAUUUCGCAGAAAUACACCAAUGUCGAUCCUCAAUUUUACUUUGAGUCUUAUAAGGACUUACAAUUAUAUCUCUACAACAAAUCUUCAAGGUUACUCUCUGUCUUUUAUGAGUACAAACUUAUGUUCAACCAUGUUUUGAACAUAGUUGAAUUUAUCUAGUAAUGGAAGAUCACUACUCAUCAAUUGAAUAACAAUGACAACUGCAAAGGAAAAGGAAAUUCCUUUUUCAGAUUACCAAUACCAACUAUCAGGCCAGGUAAAAAGUACGAACGAUUUACAUCACUGCUUAUCUUCUUUAUUGUUUUAUUGUUCUUUGCUAUACCUAAGGCGGAUCAACACAUUUAUCGAGCGUGUACUUAUUUAGAUGAAUAUAAAUAUGAAGCCUUCUUAGUUGAUUAAAGGAAGUCAUCGAGAGAGCAAGUCUUCUCCCGAUAUCGUAUUAAUAUUGUGUAUGUUCAAACAUAACUUACUGUCUCUUUAUAUUAAUUCUUUUACGAUAACAUUGCUCAUAUUUUUCCAGUAACUCUUUCUUUCUUCCUUACAAAGGCGCCAAGAAAGAUUUGCCACCACUCGAGUGAAUAAUUGUUUUUAUAAAAAAAUCACUUAGUCUUCUAAUCAGAGAGUAACCCCUUGAAGCGAAUGAGUUAGUAAUAUAAAUGGACUCUUUUGGAAUUAAAAAAUUCAUUUGUUAUUUGGUAAAAACAUUGAGUCCACGCUUUAGUUCUCUAACAUAUAAAAUAAAAAAACGACCCAAAAUCUAAGAAUGUUUAUCUAAUAAGUUACCUCAACAUUACCCCUUAAAUUAAUUCUGACUUAGUAAAUUUUGAAAUAUAUUAAAAGAAAUUCAUAUUUUCCAAUGUAAGUCAACUUAAGUUUUACUAUAUAAUAAGAUUUAUUAACAAAUGUAUAAUGUAAGAAUUCCCAUGAACUAUUUAUGCAUAUCUGUAUGUAAUGGAUAGUUGAAUCUGGUUUGCAGCUUUUAUGGCUCAGCUUGUCUUCUACUUUUUUCCAAUGAAAAACUCACAAAUAAUAAGGAAUCGGAAACGAAAAUGAAAUGUCUACAAUUACAGAAA